AGAAGAAAGCUAAUACAGCAUUAUGGUUUCGGCCCAUAAUAAGAAUUUUUUAUUCUCUUCUC
rnacentral:tRNA from 1 species